rnacentral:rRNA from 1 species
UACGUAGGCAGCGAGCGUUGUUCGGAAUUACUGGGCGUAAAGCGUGUGUAGGCGGCCAUGUAAGUCGGGUGUGAAAGCCCCGGGCUCAACCCGGGAAGUGCACUCGAAACUGCGUGGCUUGAGUAUCGGAGAGGUUGGUGGAAUUCUCGGUGUAGAGGUGAAAUUCGUAGAUAUCGAGAGGAACACCGGUGGCGAAGGCGGCCAACUGGACGAAUACUGACGCUGAGACACGAAAGCGUGGGGAGCAAACAGG